rnacentral:rRNA from 1 species
GAUGAACGCUGGCGGUGUGCCUAACACAUGCAAGUCGAGCGAAAAGACGAGAAGAUCGUUCUCUUGACGUUAGCGGCGGACGGGCGAGUAACGAGUGGAUCACAAUCUUAUAUGACUGGGAUAAUUUCGGGGAAAAAGUGACAAUAAUGGAUAAUAUAAUGUACGGCAUAGAGCAAUAGUGCAUGGCGGCUUUGCCGAUAGAAUUAGAUGGUUCCGGGUCGCAUUAGCUAGUUGGUAAGGUAACGGCUUACCAAGGCAACGAUGCGUAGCCGAGCUGGGAGGAUGAUCAGCCACACUGGAACUGAGACACGGUCCAGACUCCUACGGGAGGCAGCAGUGGGGAAUCUUCCACAAUGGGCGCAAGCCUGACGGAGCAACACCGCGUGAGUGAAGAAGGUCUUCGGAUCGUAAAGCUCUUUUAUUAGGAAAGAACAGCAGUAUAUGUAUCUAUGCACGUCUUGACGGUACCUAAUCAGAAAGCCCCGGCUAACUUCGUG